rnacentral:rRNA from 1 species
CUUGAACGCUGGCGGCAGGCCUAACACAUGCAAGUCGAGCGAGCGGCGGACGGGUGCGUAAUGUAUGGGGACUUCCCUAUAGGGGGGGAUAACUCCUGGAAACGGUAGCUAAUACCGCAUACUAUCGGAUAACCCAUAUGGGAUUAGCUAGUCGGUGAGGUAAUGGCUCACCUAGGCGACUAUCCCUAGUUGGUCUGAGAGGAUGAUCAGCCACACUGGGACUGAGACACGGCCCAGACUCCUACGGAGGCAGCAGUGGGGAAUAUUGCACAAUGGGCGCAAGCCUGAUGCAGCCAUGCCGCGUGUAUGAAGAAGGCCCUAGGGUUGUAAAGUACUUUCAGUCGGGAGGCGUUACCGACAGAAGAAGCACCGGCUAACUCCGUGCCAGCAGCCGCGGUAAUAC